AGACCCGAAACCCGGUGAUCUAGCCAUGGGCAGGUUGAAGGUUGGGUAACACUAACUGGAGGACCGAACCGACUAAUGUUGAAAAAUUAGCGGAUGACCUGUGGCUGGGGGUGAAAGGCCAAUCAAACCGGGAGAUAGCUGGUUCUCCCCGAAAGCUAUUUAGGUAGCGCCUCGUGAAUUCAUCUCCGGGGGUAGAGCACUGUUUCGGCUAGGGGGCCAUCCCGGCUUACCAACCCGAUGCAAACUGCGAAUACCGGAGAAUGUUAUCACGGGAGACACACGGCGGGUGCUAACGUCCGUCGUGAAGAGGGAAACAACCCAGACCGCCAGCUAAGGUCCCAAAGUCAUGGUUAAGUGGGAAACGAUGUGGGAAGGCCCAGACAGCCAGGAUGUUGGCUUAGAAGCAGCCAUCAUUUAAAGAAAGCGUAAUAGCUCACUGGUCGAGUCGGCCUGCGCGGAAGAUGUAACGGGGCUAAACCAUGCACCGAAGCUGCGGCAGCGACACUCAGGUGUUGUUGGGUAGGGGAGCGUUCUGUAAGCCUGCGAAGGUGGCCUGUGAGGGUUGCUGGAGGUAUCAGAAGUGCGAAUGCUGACAUAAGUAACGAUAAAGCGGGUGAAAAGCCCGCUCGCCGGAAGACCAA
rnacentral:rRNA from 2 species